UGAGGAAUAUUGGACAAUGGGCGCAAGCCUGAUCCAGCCAUGCCGCGUGCAGGAUGGCGGUCCUAUGGAUUGUAAACUGCUUUUGUACAGGAAGAAACAGUUCUACGUGUAGAACCUUGACGGUACUGUAAGAAUAAGGAUCGGCUAACUCCGUGCCAGCAGCCGCGGUAAUACGGAGGAUCCAAGCGUUAUCCGGAAUCAUUGGGUUUAAAGGGUCCGUAGGCGGUUAGAUAAGUCAGUGGUGAAAGCCCAUCGCUCAACGGUGGGACGGCCAUUGAUACUGUCUGACUUGAAUUAUUAGGAAGUAACUAGAAUAUGUAGUGUAGCGGUGAAAUGCUUAGAGAUUACAUGGAAUACCAAUUGCGAAGGCAGGUUACUACUAAUGGAUUGACGCUGAUGGACGAAAGCGUGGGUAGCGAACAGGAUUAGAUACCCCUGUAGUCCCUGAGCGGGCUGGCAAGGCGCAU
rnacentral:rRNA from 1 species